rnacentral:rRNA from 1 species
GACGAACGCUGGCGGCGUGCUUAACACAUGCAAGUCGAACGAAGUGGCGAACGGGUGAGUAACGCGUAAUCAACCUGCCCUUCAGAGGGGAACAACAGUUGGAAACGACUGCUCAUACCGCAAAAUGAAGAAGGGGAUUGCGUCUGAUUAGCUAGUUGGGGGGGUAAAGGCCCAACAAGGCGAUGAUCAGUAGCCGGUCCGGGAGGAUGAACGGCCACAUUGGGACUGAGACACGGCCCAGACUCCUACGGGAGGCAGCAGUGGGGAAUCUUCCGCAAUGGACGAAAGUCUGACGGAGCAACGCCGCGGGAGUGAUGACGGCCUUCGGGUUGUAAAGCUCUGUUAAUCGGGACGCGGUACCGGAAUAGAAAGCCACGGCUAACUACGUGCCAGCAGCCGCGGUAAUAC